GCAGUGAGCCGGGUAAUCGCUGCCAUCAGUAACCUCGCCGCAAGGGGAGAAGUGCUGGCGGGAGAGGAAAGUCCGAACUCCACAGGGCAGUGCGCCGGGUAAUUCCCGGGCGGGGCGACCCGACGGACAGUGGCACAGAAAAUAUACCGCCGCGCCAUGGCCCGAGACCGCAAGGUCGAGGGCGACGGCGGGGUAAGGGUGAAAUGGUGGGGUAAGAGCCCACCGCGCUUUUGGUAACAAGAGUGGCAGGCCAAACCCCGCACGGAGCAAGACCAAAUAGGGAAGCGAAUGAUGGCGGCCCGCCUGAAGCUUCCGGGUAGGUUGCUCGAUCCCGUCAGCAAUGCCGGGGCUAGAGGAAUGAUUACCCUCGUGGGGUCCGCAAGGGCGUCAUGGGACAGAAUUCGGCUUAUAGGCUCACUGCGGCA
rnacentral:RNase_P_RNA from 1 species